UGCCAGCAGCCGCGGUAAUACAGAGGGUGCAAGCGUUAAUCGGAUUGACUGGGCGUAAAGGGCGCGUAGGUGGUUAUUUAAGUUAGAUGUGAAAUCCCUGGGCUUAACCUAGGAACUGCAUUUAAUACUGGGUGACUAGAGUAUGGGAGAGGGCAGUGGAAUUUCCGGUGUAGCGGUGAAAUGCGUAGAUAUCGGAAGGAACACCAGUGGCGAAGGCGAUCUCUUGGUCCAUAACUGACGCUGAGGCGCGAAAGCGUGGGGAGCAAACAGGAUUAGAUA
rnacentral:rRNA from 1 species